CAAAGAAUAACAUAGGAUCGAAUGAAAUUUGAUAAUAUAAGUAAAUUGGAAUUUUUUUGAAAAUUGUAUGCUCUGUUUGAAACACAAAAUACAUUUUUUGGGUUUCAUAUCCUUUAAAGGCGAAUAGGUGUAAAGUAGUUCUUUUUUAUUCAUCUGCAAGAUGUGUGUAAUUAUGACAUUGGUUUUAAAUCACUUUGGAACAAAAAAAUGAUCUGCUCCUGUGACCUGACUUCCCAUUAAUGUUUUAAACUCAAAACCACUUUUUUCUGGUUCUGAAGAUUUGAGAUCUCCAUCUGUCAUGACCGGCUCCAGUCCAAUAGCAUGACUUAAGUAACUUAUAUUUAGGUGGGUGAUCACAGUGAGUCUUCAAUACAGGAAGCCGUUUAUAACAGAAAACAUCCUCUAAUAGACAUUAUUUCCAUUUAUAGAGUCUUAAGAACUAUAAUACAGAUUUGUGGAGUUGAAAGUUGGUUUAUCCAAGGGAGUGAUCUCUCCACCUAUCUAUUUCUGGACACUUCCCUUAAAUUGUCAAUUCCAGAAAGAUCUUAUGGUGCCAAAGGAAAACUAAAAGGGACCCAUAAACUGCACAAAAGAUAUUACGGCUAGAUUACGAGUUUUGCGUUAUGAGUGAAAAAGCAGUGUUAUGGCUCUUUUUCACUACCGCUGGUAUUCCGAGUCUUGCAGGUAUAUCUGUACCGCACACUUUUUUGGCCGUAACGCAACGUAACUACCGCAGCUUUCAAAAAGUCCUUUUUCAAUGGGACUUCCAUAGCGCUGGUAUUACGAGUUUGCCUGUCCGGCCAAAAAGUGAGUGGUACAGCCCAUAACUACAAGAGUCGUACCGUAAACUGAAAGUCAGUAGUUAUGGGUUUUACACUACAAAGCUGUACCAUAAAACUCAUAACUAAAGUGUUAGAAAGUACACUAACACCCAUAAACUACCUAUUAACCCCUAAACCGAGGCCCUCCCGCAUCGCAAACACUAAAAUAAAAUUAUUAACCCCUAAUCUGCCUCUCACGACAUUGCCGCCACUAUAAUAAACAUAUUAACCCCUAAACCGUUGUACUCUGCUGUCCCUAACAUCGCCGGAACCUACAUUACUGUUAUUAUCCCCUAAUCUGUUGCCCCCAAAAUCGCUGUCACUAUACUAAAGUUAUUAACCCCUAAACCUAACGCUAAGUCUAACGUAACCCUAACACCCACUAACUUUAACAUAAUUUAAAUUAUUCCAAAUAAAAAUUACAAUUACUACCUAAAUUAUUCCUAUUUAAAACUAAAUAAAUACUUACCUGUAAAAUAAAACCUAAGCUAGCUACAAUAUAACUAGUUGUAUCUAGCUUAUGUUUUAUUUUUAUUUCACAGGUAAGUUUGUAUUUUUUUUUUUUUAUAUUUGGAACAGCCAAUAGAAUGCGAGCUCAAUCCUAUUGGCUGAUUGCAUCACCCAAUAGGAUUUUUUCAACUAAUUCCAACUGGCUGAUAGAAUUCUAUCAGCCAAUCGGAAUUCAAGGGACGCCAUCUUGGAUGACGUCCCUUAAAGGAACCUUCAUUCUUCAGUAGCCGUCAACAGAAGUGGAUGCUCCGCGCCGGAUGUCUUGAAGAUGGAGCCGCUACGCAUCGGAAGGAUGAAGAUAGAAGAUGCCGUCUGGAUGAAGACCCGCCUGGAGGACUACUUCUUGCCACUUGGAUCAAGACUUCUCCCGGCUUCGUUGAGGAUGGAUGUCCGGUCUUCAAAAACUGUAAGUGGAUCUUUGGGGGUUAGUGUUAGGUUUAUUGGGUGGGUUUUAUUUUUAGCUUAGGGUUUGGGCUGAAAAAGAGCUAAAUGCCCAUCCAAAUGCCCUUUUCAUGGCAAUGGGGAGCUUAGGUUUUUUAGAUAGGAUUUUAUUUGGGGGGUUUGGUUGUGUGGGUGGUGGGUUUUACUGUUGGGGGGGGUUGUUUGCAUUUUUUUUUUUUACAGGUAAAAGAGCUGAUUUCUUUGGGGCAAUGCCCCGCAAAAGGCCCUUUUAAGGGCUAUUGGCAGUUUAGUUUAGGCUAGGGUUUUUUUUAUUUUGGGUGGGCUUUUUUUUAUUUUGAUAGGACUAUUAGAUUAGGUGUAAUUAGUUUAAAUAAUUGAUCAUUUCUUUUUUAUUUUGUGUAAUUUAGUGUUUAUUUUUUUUUGUAAUUUAGUUAAUUUUAUUUAAUUAAUGUAAUUUAUUUAAUUGUAGUGUAAUAUUAGGUGUUAGUGUAAGACAGGUUAGGUUUUAUUUUACAGGUAAUUUGUAUUUAUUUUAACUAGGUAGCUAGUAAAUAGUUAAUAACUAUUUACUAACUAGUCUACCUAGUUGAAAUAAAUACAAACUUACCUGUGAAAUAAAAAUAAAACCUAAGAUAGAUACAAUGUAACUAUUAGUUAUAUUGUAGCUAGCUUAGGUUUUAUUUUAUAGGCAUUUAGUUUUAAAAAGGAAUUAUUUAGGUAUUAAUUGUAAUUUUUAUUUAGCUUUAUUUUAAUUAUGUUAAAGUUAGUGGGUGUUAGGGUUAUUGUGAAUAAAUGUGAUAUAAAAAGGAUAUCAAGUAGGUGAUCUUGAGUUCCUCAGAAAAGAAGAAAAACAAAACAUAGUGUAAUAUUGUUUAAACAAUGAUAAUUAAAAUAGCAUGUGUAAAUGGCUACUCACAUAUGCCUGAGCUAUCACCAGCUCAGGUAUAAAGGCAGUCCUGAGUACAAAGCUAUCAGGAUCAGCUGGGUUUGUAUCUGGAUUUUCGUUCACAAACUCCCGGAUCUCCAAGGGAAAGAAAUAAGAUAAUAGUGUGAUAUUGUUUAUACACCCAAUUCUAUAGAAUCGAUACUUGGAAUAUUACUCACACUUUAUAGUAAUACUUUAUACUUUCAGCACAGACCUGAAUCUUUUGGCUAUCAGGUAAAGCCUUAACGAACCAAACCGGAACCGCUUCCAAUGAAGGUUUUUAUUUAAAAUAUGUAUAAAAUUGUUAAAAGCAAAAAUACACUCUUGAAAUAUUUAGUCAUUCGGGUUUACAGUGCAAAAUUGUUACCAUUUACAAGUUACCCUUUGUUACUUAGCAGGAUGGCAACGGAUUGUAACAAUGUAUCCGUAUAGUAGCCAAAGUCCUUACAGCAUAACACCCUUCACUAUGACGUAUUUCUCAGAUGCGUAAGCUCAUUCUCGACGUACGUUUCGCCACGCCCCUGUGGAAAAAGCCACAGGAAGUAAUGAUACAAUCUAUGCAUAUGCAAAAAAAACAAACAAAAAAACUGCAUAGAUCCUAUCAUUACUUCCAUGACAGCACUUCCCUUCCACAGAGUUGGGGCUGCUCAGAGCCGUCGCUAGCACUCUCCCACCUUGAGGGAGAUCUGGAGGCUUCCACCCGCUCCUACCCCGGCGAUUGGGCCUGUAUAGUGACAGGCAUCGCCGGGACUUCACGUUUUGUGCGGUGACGUCACACGCAAUGACGUGUUGACGUCACAUGCAAUGACGUGUUGACGUCACCAUGCAACUUUAUUUAAAAUGGACAAUGCAAAGUAUAGUGAAAGGGGGUAAUCGUCUAACCUUUCUAACAGUAUAAGUCUUGGUGAUCUGUAAGAAAAAAAAGUUAAAAAAUGUUUUAUGUUAAAACAUAAAAAAAUAAAAAAUUCAGCUAAGCACCCAGGUGGGAAAGUGCUUAGCACUCAAAGGGUUAAGCUUCUCUAUUUUCCACAUUUUGGAUUUCUGUAAAAUGUGGAUAUGGAUUUGUUCAUCAAAAUGCAGCUUUGUGCAUUUUCUGUGCUUGUUUUAGUGAAAGACUGUUCUUCGCCUUGAUAUCCUUUUCUAAAGUCUCUAAUCUGCCAUGUUUUUACAGCAAAGUGUGCCUUAAAGGGACACUAAACCCAAUUUUUUUCUUUUGUGAUUCAAAUAGAGCAUGCAAUUUUAAGCAACUUUCUAAUUUACUCCUAUUAUCAAUGUUUCUUCGUUCGCUUGCUAUCUUUAUAUGAAAAAAAAGGCAUCUAAGCUUUUUUUCUUGGUUCAGAACUCUGGACAGCAGUUUUUGAUUGGUGGUUGAAUUUAUCCACCAAUCAGCAAGGACAACCUAGAUUGUUCACCAAAAAUGGGCAGGCAUCUAAACUUACAUUCUUGUAUUUCAAAUAAAGAUACCAAGAGAAUAAAGAACAUUUGAUAAUAGGAGUAAAUUAUAAAGUUGCUUAAAAUUUCAUGCUCUAUCUGAAUCACAAAAGAAAAAAUUUGGGUUCAGUGUCCCUUUAAAGCUUGCUGAAUAUGUACUUUUUUUUUUUUUUAUAGUAAUAGACCUGCACUUAUUUUUGUUCAUUUGCUGAGCUACUUUAUAACUUUAUAAUUUAUUUCUGUUUUGCUUUCUGAAAAAGAAAAAAAAAUCUCUCUCAGUAAUGACUACCAUCAUUAAUUAAAAAUAAAUUAGAAUUAACUUUUACUGAAAUUUGGAAAUGUCACACAAAUGUGAUUGAAUAAUUACUUUAACACAAAGUGAUGUAUCGGACCACAAUUGAAUUAUUUUUUCUUUGAUUUGUUCUCAUAUGUAUAGGUCAUCUCAGUUUACACAAACAUAAAAAAAUAUAAGGAUUUGGCUACGUUAGUGGUUUCUAGAAGUAUCAUUUUUACAGAGAUAAUUUAAGACUAUGUGCUCAGUGAUAAAAAAAAUAAUUCCUCAACAUGGUGAGAAAUAUCACACUGACGCUUGGACGGGCAGAUCACUAAAUUAUCUAAAUAAAGGAGCUGAAGCUGGAAUUCUGCACGUUGUAAACUUACCUCCAUAAUCGCGCUCACUAGAAUGCAGAUUCUUGCAGAGGAGAAAAAAUAUAACAGGGAGCACCGGGAAUAUUGUAUAAUAAAAAUAAAUAUGUUUACUUCUAUUAUCAUUUUUACUUCUUGUUCUCUUGGUAUUCCUUUGUUAUAAAGCAUACCUAGGUAGGCUCAAGAGCGCUCACUGGAAUAGAAUGUACAAUUUUAAACAAAUUUCCAAUAUACUUUUGUCAUAAAAGGUCCUUCAUUCUAUUGGUGUCCUUUGUUGAAGGAGCAGCAAUGCACUACUGGGAGCUAGCUGAACACAUCAGAUGAGCCAAUAACAAGAGACAUAUGUGGAGGCACAAAUCAGCAGUUAUUUUCCAUAAUUGCAUUCCUGCUCCUCAACCUAUCUAAGUAUGCUUUUAAAGAAAUUAGCAAAGUAGAUAAAAGAAAUAUAAUGGAAAAUUGUUUAAAAUUUAAUGUAGUUGAAUCAUGAAAAUUAAUUUUGACUUUGCUGUCCCUUUAAAUUGCAUGCUCUUUCUAGAUUUUCCUUGAUUUAAAUCAAUAUUUUAAAUAAGAAAAACAAUGGGUGUCUCCUUAAUGUGUUUAUAGCUUGCCCUUUAAAUGCAUGAACAGACGAAGAUCACUGCACAGAAGAGGCUACAAAGCACUUUAGCUUUAUGACUAGACCUGCUAGCCCUGUGUGUGAGUGACCAACUGAUAUUUGCUUGUGACAGUCUAUCAGUAUAUUUAUACCCUGAGGAGUAAGCAGAUGGUAAAGUCUGGAGGCAGGUGGCGAGAUGAGGUUAUGUAUAGAAGGCCUGUGCACGUGUAGUGAUGGAUCUGCACCAGAUGGUUUACCAGCUAUAACUCAUGUCAUAUGGGGGAAAAGCUUAAAGGGACUCUAAAGUCAAAACUAAACUUUCAUGAUUCAGAUAGAGCAGCAAUUUUAAAAAAUGUUCCAAUUUACUUCCAUUAACAAAAUCUGCACAGUCUUUUUUUUUUUUUAUUUACACUUUUUGAAUCCUACUGAGCAUGUGCAAGAAUUCACAGAAUAUACGUAUAUGCAUUUGUGAUUGGCUGAUGGCUGUCACAUGAUACAGGAGAUGUGGAAAUAAACAUAACUUUGAAAUUUGUCAGAAAAAAAUCUACUAAUCAUUUGAAGUUCAAACUAAGUGCUAUUGCAUUGUCUUUUUAUAAUGCAUUUGUUGAUUAUGCAAAGCUACUUAAUUUUCUGGUCCUUUAAAGGGACAGUAAAUAUAGGGAUGCUCAUAGGACCUCAGGAGUGUGCACGUGUAUUAGUUGUAAUAAUCCCCCCCCCCCUGCAGCUCCUAUACAUUAUUAAAGGGGCAGUACACUGUAAAAUUGUUUUUCCAUUAAUGUAUUUUCAAAGACUUGUUAUACCAACUGCAGAGUAUAAAAUAUUUAAGAAAUUGCA